AGACAGGCUCUAUUCAGAGCCCUUCAUACAAAUUCACACAUUUAAU
rfam:Pongo abelii chromosome 8.